UGCAGUCGACGAUGAUGCCCAGCUUGCUGGGCGGAUUAGUGGCGAACGGGUGAGUAACACGUGAGUAACCUGCCCUUGACUUCGGGAUAACUCCGGGAAACCGGGGCUAAUACCGGAUAUGAGCCGCCUUCGCAUGGGGGUGGUUGGAAAGUUUUUCGGUCAGGGAUGGGCUCGCGGCCUAUCAGCUUGUUGGUGGGGUGAUGGCCUACCAAGGCGACGACGGGUAGCCGGCCUGAGAGGGCGACCGGCCACACUGGGACUGAGACACGGCCCAGACUCCUACGGGAGGCAGCAGUGGGGAAUAUUGCACAAUGGGCGAAAGCCUGAUGCAGCGACGCCGCGUGAGGGAUGAAGGCCUUCGGGUUGUAAACCUCUUUCAGCAGGGAAGAAGCGCAAGUGACGGUACCUGCAGAAGAAGCGCCGGCUAACUACGUGCCAGCAGCCGCGGUAAUACGUAGGGCGCAAGCGUUGUCCGGAAUUAUUGGGCGUAAAGAGCUCGUAGGCGGUUUGUCGCGUCUGGUGUGAAAACUCGAGGCUCAACCUCGAGCUUGCAUCGGGUACGGGCAGACUAGAGUGCGGUAGGGGAGACUGGAAUUCCUGGUGUAGCGGUGGAAUGCGCAGAUAUCAGGAGGAACACCGAUGGCGAAGGCAGGUCUCUGGGCCGCAACUGACGCUGAGGAGCGAAAGCAUGGGGAGCGAACAGGAUUAGAUACCCUGGUAGUCCAUGCCGUAAACGUUGGGCACUAGGUGUGGGGCUCAUUCCACGAGUUCCGUGCCGCAGCAAACGCAUUAAG
rnacentral:rRNA from 1 species